rnacentral:rRNA from 1 species
AUGCCGAGCUCAGGCGGCGGCGCUGGUCCGGACCUCCGAGGGAUCAGACCGUCCUUCGUCGACCUCUGCUUCCUCUUCCUCAAGACCUUGGCCGCCUGUGCCGCCUCACUGUCCCAGCUCGCGGCCAUCUCCAACGCCUCCUCCCACGCCUACGCGCACCCCGGAUGCCACCUUCUUCGACGCGACGUCGUCGACACCGUCGCCAACAAGUACGGCUGGGACCCUGACACUGAGGUCCCGGUCUGGCCGCUCAACACCGAGGGCGCGCUCAUCGGCGCCAUUCAGCGGUACGAGUUCCGCGCCGGUGCGGGAGGCGCCGCGGUCGCGCUGGCACGGGCCUCUGACGGGGCCGUCAACUAG